GGUAAACCAUUCUCAGCGGUCUAACGAGACACCUCUGAAGACUUGGGUAAUUGCAAAGGAGGAUGGAGAAGUGAUUGCAGCUCAUUGCAAUUGUAUGGCAGGAUCUGGAAAAUGCAAGUCCCAGGGGCUCUUCUCUUCCUCGUCAUGGGCUCUAUCUCUGCCAAAAAGGUGGGGGAUUUUGGUGUGUUUACUGCUUGCAUCGACACAAAGGAAAAUAACAGUCUCAGAUUGCAGUGCUACUAUCAAGACUGUUCACAACCUCCCUAUAUGCCCUUCAGCUGUGAAUUCAAGACAUCGAAUGGAGGUAUACUGGCUACAAUGAAAAACACGAUGUGCAAGAAUUACACUGUCCCAUUAACAGAACACAGUCUUAGCGAGUUGCAAGAGACUGGUAAUGUGACAAACUUCACAUGCACACUGACAAGAAACAAGAGGACUGAAACGAAGAAUAUCACCAUAGACUACAAGGCACACAAAGAAAAACAACGAGUCCCAAAGUGCUGUGCUGCAAGCCCAACCUCCCUGUGGCCUGUGGUGCUCCUCACUCUGUGGAGAGUCGUUGACUCCUGAUGAAGCAAGCAUGAAGGAGGGUCUCUGAACGCUUUGACUAACACAGAUGUAUCUGUUCCAUUUAGGCAUUUUGAAAUUUAAGAAACUUUCUUAAAUACAUUUCUAUGCAGGCUUCCAUUACUUGCCUGAUCCCCAAGUACAUGCAAUAAUGCAGUAUGUUAACAUAUAAACUGAAUUCCAACUAUGAUAUAUGAUAAUAUGAUAUAUUAAAGACUUAUGAAUUAAAAGCAUUAACUCAC
ensembl:lncRNA